GUGAAUCAUCAAAUCUUUGAACGCAAAUUGCACUCCCUGGUAUUCCGGGGAGUAUGCCUGCUGGAGGGUCGUUAGAACAAAAAUCGAAGCGUCGCACUUUUUUUUAAGGGUGAACGCGUCGGAAUUGAGCCGUCUUUCAAAUGUUAAUGCAUGUCAAAGUGGAUUAAAAUUCAUACAUCCGGUAUGAUAAAAACGUAUUUAAGAUCAAU
rnacentral:misc_RNA from 1 species